CCUAGGGUGGGCAGCAGUGGGGAAUAUUGGACAAUGGGCGAAAGCCUGAUCCAGCCAUGCCGCGUGUGUGAAGAAGGCCUUCGGGUUGUAAAGCACUUUCAGUGGGGAAGAAAGCCUUGGGGCUAAUACCCUCGAGGAAGGACAUCACCCACAGAAGAAGCACCGGCUAACUCCGUGCCAGCAGCCGCGGUAAUACGGAGGGUGCGAGCGUUAAUCGGAAUUACUGGGCGUAAAGCGCGCGUAGGCGGUCUGAUAAGCCGGUUGUGAAAGCCCCGGGCUCAACCUGGGAACGGCAUCCGGAACUGUCAGGCUAGAGUGCAGGAGAGGAAGGUAGAAUUCCCGGUGUAGCGGUGAAAUGCGUAGAGAUCGGGAGGAAUACCAGUGGCGAAGGCGGCCUUCUGGACUGACACUGACGCUGAGGUGCGAAAGCGUGGGUAGCAAACAGGAUUAGAUACCCGUGUAGUC
rnacentral:rRNA from 1 species